UGAGUUCAGGAGUUCAAGACCAGUCUGGGCAACACAGAGAAACCUUGUCUCUACUAAAAAUACAGAACUCAGCCAGGCAUAGCAGUGGGCACCUGUAAUCCCAGCCACU